AGAGUUUGAUCCUGGCUCAGGAUGAACGCUGGCGGCGUGCUUAACACAUGCAAGUCGAACGAAGCAUUUUUAAUGAGACCUUCGGGUGGAAUUAAGGAUGACUGAGUGGCGGACGGGUGAGUAACGCGUGGGUAACCUGCCUCACACAGGGGGACAACAGUUGGAAACGGCUGCUAAUACCGCAUAAGCGCACGGGGUCGCAUGAUCCAGUGUGAAAAACUCCGGUGGUGUGAGAUGGACCCGCGUCUGAUUAGGUAGUUGGUGGGGUAACGGCCCACCAAGCCGACGAUCAGUAGCCGACCUGAGAGGGUGACCGGCCACAUUGGGACUGAGACACGGCCCAAACUCCUACGGGAGGCAGCAGUGGGGAAUAUUGCACAAUGGGCGAAAGCCUGAUGCAGCGACGCCGCGUGAGCGAAGAAGUAUUUCGGUAUGUAAAGCUCUAUCAGCAGGGAAGAAAAUGACGGUACCUGAGUAAGAAGCCCCGGCUAACUACGUGCCAGCAGCCGCGGUAAUACGUAGGGGGCAAGCGUUAUCCGGAUUUACUGGGUGUAAAGGGAGCGUAGACGGAAUAGCAAGUCAGAUGUGAAAGGCAUGGGCUUAACCUGUGGACUGCAUUUGAAACUGCCAUUCUGGAGUGCCGGAGAGGUAAGCGGAAUUCCUAGUGUAGCGGUGAAAUGCGUAGAUAUUAGGAGGAACACCAGUGGCGAAGGCGGCUUACUGGACGGUAACUGACGUUGAGGCUCGAAAGCGUGGGGAGCAAACAGGAUUAGAUACCCUGGUAGUCCACGCGGUAAACGAUGA
rnacentral:rRNA from 1 species